rnacentral:piRNA from 1 species
UGCCAGAGUCCUAGCAAUGAAAGA